rnacentral:lncRNA from 1 species
CGGCCUAAAGCCGGGCGCUAACGGCUAGGCUCCUGACAUCCCAUCCCCCUUUUCGGGCGGUAUGGCGACUGUCUGCCUCUGAUACCAAUUGUCAGCGACCUUCCCGGCCUAGCCCACUCAACGCUACACCUUUGGGUGUUUCCCGACGCUCGUGGGCUAACACAAGCGAGCCCCUUCACUCGCUCUCAAAACCCAGGCUGUGAGAGGAGGGGAAAUCUCGCUUAUAAGCUCACCACGGCCCCCUCCGGCUAGCGAGGUGGUACUAAAGCCGGGCGCUAACGGCUAGGCUCCUGACAUCCCAUCCCCCUUUUCGGGCGGUAUGGCGACUGUCUGCCUCUGAUACCAAUUGUCAGCGACCUUCCCGGCCUAGCCCACUCAACGCUACACCUUUGGGCGUUUCCCGGCGCUCGUGGGCUAACACAAGCGAGCCCCUUCACUCGCUCUCAAAACCCGGGCUGUGAGAGGAGGGGAAAUCUCGCUUAUAAGCUCACCACGGCCCCCUCCGGCUAGCGAGGUGGUACUAAAGUCGGGCGCUAACGGCUAGGCUCCUGACAUCCCAUCCCCCUUUUCGGGCGGUAUGGCGACUGUCUGCCUCUGAUACCAAUUGUCAGCGACCUUCCCGGCCUAGCCCACUCAACGCUACACCUUUGGGUGUUUCCCGGCGCUCGUGGGCUAACACAAGCGAGCCCCUUCACUCGCUCUCAAAACCCGGGCUGUGAGAGGAGGGGAAAUCUCGCUUAUAAGCUCACCAUGGCCCCCUCCGGCUAGCGAGGUGGUACUAAAGCCGGGCGCUAACGGCUAGGCUCCUGACAUCCCAUCCCCCUUUUCGGGCGGUAUGGCGACUGUCUGCCUCUGAUACCAAUUGUCAACGACCUUCCCGGCCUAGCCCACUCAACGCUACACCUUUGGGCGUUUCCCGGCGCUCGUGGGCUAACACAAGCGAGCCCCUUCACUCGCUCUCAAAACCCGGGCUGUGAGAGGAGGGGAAAUCUCGCUUAUAAGCUCACCACGGCC